ensembl:lncRNA
GCUUUUGUUAUGAUUCUUUAACCACUUUUUGCUUUUGUUAUGAUUCUUUAACCCCUUUUUGUUUCCAUUAUGAUUCAUUAACCCCUUUUUGUUUACGUUGUGAUUCAUUAACCCCUUUUUGUUUACGUUAUGAUUCUUUAACCCCUUUUUGUUUCCGUUAUGAUUCUUUAACCCGUUUUGCUUCUAUCAGGAUUCUUUAAUAACUUUUUUUCUGUCACAAUUCUUUAACCACUUUUUCCCUUCCUUCAUGAU